AGAACCUAUUGUGAAAAAACCUGAACAGUUUGUAGAAAUCACCAGCCCAUUCCUAGGCUUUCGAAUCCAUCCACUCAGUGUGCCAUCUGAAGGGUAAGAGUGAAAAUAUAUAUAUAUAUAUAUUUUUUUUUUUUUUAAGUAAAGAAACACUCCACCUUGGCACCCUCCAUUGUAAGUAGUCUAAACCCAUACCUGGAGUCUGUCAAAUGCUUCUCCUCACCUCCAAUACUAGCUGAGAAGUAGGAACUUCUUUAAUUUCUGCAGAACUAAGUACCCCAUCAAUUGCUGACACUGUCAGACAUUUUAGCCCUGCACUGUAGGUGUUUGCUCAGAAAAAUUAGCAGACGUGUGACGAUAGUUACCAUCACUGGGAGCAUAAAACUGACACGUUAUGUAGGCCCCGGAUGUCUCUUAUGUUUAAGUCACUCUAUGCUCAUUACAGGUGCGGGGUGUUGUGACAGUAGCAGCCAAUGUACAAAUGAUGCAUUGGUAUUUUGAUAACUCUGUCAGCGCCCUCUGCUGACUGAAUAGAAAUGUGUACAUUCACAUAAUGUAGGUAUGCAAAUGUAGCAAAUCAAAUUAGUAGUUGAAUGUAUAUAGUAUUGCUUUUUAUUGUGUUUGAAAAAAGUUACCUGUAUUAUAUAUUUCAUGUAUUAAAUAUAGUUACUUGUUCUCCCAUGUUCUGUAUAGUUAUACUUUAAAUGGUUUUCACCACUUGUUUAAGGACAAGUAAACCAAAGAUAGUCUGCUGCAAUGGGCAAAUAGUUUCAGAUUUCAUUGAAUUCAGGCCCAGAUUUAAAGCACCUGAGCACAGAUUUUAACAAUCAGGGUCAAGGUUCAGCCAUCUGGCAGUGCUUGGUCUGGCUUAAAUCCAGACCAAUUCAGGUUCAUUUAGAGCCUGAAGUGCAAAAUCCAGAAAUUGUUAAAUAGCGUUAACAAGGUCUGUGUUUUGUUGUUCGAAUAGCCCUAUACAGCACUGAAUGAUUUUGCCCCAUUCUGUAUGUGGCCAUUUGGACUUGAGUGAAAAAGACUGCAAGUGCAGAAACUGUAGUCUGAAAAGAAUAGCAGAAAAUCCAAUAGAUGAUCAUUACGAACUGCAAUUUGUCCAAAUUUGGGAUAAUCCGUGAUUGUACAAAGUCCCAAACUCCAAGCUGAAAUGUAACUAAAUCAUGAACCAAGCAAAUAAAGCAAUAGACAAGCGUGUUCAUUUUGAUUUUUGUUUCAGAAUGCCGCCUUUUGCGCAAAAAAAAGAGAUGAUUGAGGGGAAAAAAGAUGAUUAAUGGUUUGGGGACAGCCACUAACUGUUGAUUUUAUUUACAAAUCAAGUGAUAAGUGACCAACAGAGGGGAAAAAUAGAAGAGCAGUAAAAAAAUAAAUAAAUCUAUAUUUUUUACUGCUCCUCCCCCUAUAUUGGAUACUUUUUCGCACUUGAUCUUUAAACCAAAUGGCGGGGAAAAUAGGCCGAUCAGUGUACUGCUUAUGUUUCAAUAAGUAACUUUCAUGUAAUCAAAAUAACCGAUGUGCAAUAUUCAAUGUGCCAUAUGUUCGAACGUGAUUACAAGAUAGCCUCUUGACAUUUUAAUGCGUUCUUGCAGAGCCAGGUCAAUUACACUGAUGAUUCUGUGCAUCUAUUUCACUAAUAAUUUACAUUAAAGUAACUUUUAUAUUCUUUAGGAAAGGAAUUAUUUUAUUUUAAAGAUGAGUCAGACAUGUCCUGACAUUACUAUUUAUUUUAGGGCCCAAACCGGAUGCAUCAACGGCAGACUUGGCAAAUUGCUGCUUAAAGUUCAAACUCAUUAGCUUUCUUCUAUUUUUAAUAUGUAGGACAUAUCGAGGUCACUUUCAAUUUUAUAUUACUUCUUGAAUCAAUUACAUUAGAAACUGGUAGCAAGUCACAAGAUAAAUAUAAUACAAGGCUAUAAUUUUAAUAACCCAAAUUAUUACCUUAAGACAAAUAAUUAAACGAAAAUAAGAGUCUUGCAAAAUGAGAUAUUAAAAGAUAUUACUUUAGAUAUUAAAAAGAAGUUCCCAAGUGUACUAUAAAGGAAAAGUGGAGCACAAAAUAAAUGUUGCGCCUUGGGAAAUAAGCUAAUUUUGUUAAGUUAUAUAAUUUCCUUUUUUGGUUUGUCGUUUUGCAGGAGGAAAAUAAAAAUCCAUCAAUUGACAGAUCUAUAAACAACUAUAAUAAAGUAUUUAAAUUAAUUAAAAGGAAAGUAUUUUAUGAGAGAUAAGGCACACAAUAAAUAUAUAUAUAUAUAUAUAUAUAUAUAUAUAUAUAUAUAUAUAAGAAAACCGAGAUGCUUGCACUCCUGGUUUAGAGAGUAAUUGCCCGGUGCUGGUCAGGCACAAGAUACAAAAAAAUUAUUGGAAAUGACCGCACUCCAAGGACUUGUUGAUAGUAAAAAUAAAAUAUAACUUUUAUUCUAUAUCAUCCUGAUGAAAGCCCAUGUAUUGGGGCUGAAACUUCAAUAUUUUAUAUGAUAUAGAAUAAAAGUUAUAUUUUAUUUUUACUAUCAACAAGUCCUUGGAGUGCGGUCAUUUCCAAUCAUUUUAAUAUAUAUAUAUAUAUAUGUGUCAAGAUAAUUUUCUAACAUGACCGGAGGCUUCAUAUUUACUAGAACUCCACAGCAGCACAGAGAAAACAACCAAUCAGAAAAAAGUAAGGUACUAUAAAACUCCCCUCCCUAUCCAUCAUUUCCUCUUUCUUUGCUGCUCCGCAGUCAGUACAGGUCAGAGUACCACUGCCUCCUGCUUCUAGUUGGGGGGAAUUGGGAUUGAUUUAUUUAUGUUCAGUAUUUUAUAUUUAAUCUGUCUGGGAAUUUACUAAUUGUCUGUAACUUUAUGCAUCAUUGAUUACCCAUCUGUUAGUGCAUUUGAUUUCAGGGGUGUCUUUGUGGGUUUUUCUGCCUUUUAUUAUACCCUUGGUUUAAUCCCUCCCCCCCCCCCGUCUAUCUCCCAGAUUUUCCCUCCGUUUUAUAUAUAUGUUUUGCCCUUUCUUCUCGGGCUGCGUAAAUGCCGCUCGGGGGUUCUCUAGAGGCUGAUAGUCUGCUUGCAGCUCCGACCCCCGAGCUCUGGGACAGCAGAGUCUCCUCCAGCGGCCCUGUGUAUGUUUUUGCCGGUCUCUGAGUACUCGUGAUUGUACACGAGUACCCGGCGGCCUGAUCUCCUUACACACGUGGCGUUUGCCGCGGCCGACUCAGGCACCGGACCGCGUGUGUCCGACCGGGUGGAGGAGGGUGCACUUGCUCGCGGCCCCUCCCCUGGAUUUACUUACCUCAGUGGAGGUCUGCUUGCGGGGUUCAUUCCCCGCUGGUGCUCAGGAUCUGCUGCCAGACCUACUGAAGCUGGUUUGCUUAGUAGGUGAUAGGGUUGAUACUGUGCCUGCACUACAUGAUAGGACUACAUACAUAACAGAUGUUACAAGUAUUCAUAGAGGCCAGAUAAGGCUUCUAUAGGUUUUUCCCUGCCUUGCUGCAUCUGUCUUUUUGCCUAUUGGUCACCAUAGUAACCCCAUUCAGGUUUCUGUAUAAACUGUACUAUGCUCUGAUCUGGCAGCCUGGGCUGCAAGCCGUUUAAGGACUGCCAGUUUCCCCAUUUUAGUGCUUUUAGCACAUUUUUACACUUCCAUGUGGCUUGGGUAUUGAGGUUGAUUACACGUAUUACCCCAGGAUUAAAAUAUAUAUCGGGGACUCUACCCACGCAGAUUGGUCCCCUGCGGCUGUCUGAACACAACACCUGUGUAUGGCCAGCUCCGUCUGUGCCCCAUUGAUUGGCCUGCUAUGUCUGUGCCCCAUUGAUUGGCCUGCUAUGUCUGUGCCCCAUUGAUUGACCUGCUAUGUCUGUACCCCAUCGAUUGGCCUGCUAUGUCUGUACCCCAUUGAUUGGCCUGCUAUGUCUGUGCCCCAUUGAUUGGCCUGCUAUGUCUGUGCCCAUUUGAUUGACCUGCUAUGUCUGUGCCCAUUUGAUUGGCCUAAUCUACCUGUGCCCUAUCAAUAGGCUGACGUCAGUCUGUGCCCGAACCCCCUUUUGGCCACAGGCCUGGGGGAAUAUCACUGUGGAGAGCCCAGUACCCGCUAUUGACAAGGGAUAGGUGGGUGUCCAGGCAAGCACUGCUGCCAUACUACUCAAUAGGACACCAGUAUAUGGGCACCUAGGUAUGAUUGGAAGGGUGAAUGCCCUAAACCUCAUGCCCUGAGGGGCAAGGCUUCUACGAAAAUCCCCGGGCGCACAAUCACGGUUCACACCAGCCCGGCGGUGGCACAUCUCCAAGAAGAAUUUCGCACAUGUAGGGACCAGUGCUCAGACGACAACAGGGGGAGCAAGGUAUUUCCUUGUUUUUGGCAACUAAUCCUUAAGCUGCAUUUCCGGUAUCCAUCUUAGGUCUAGGUAGUUAUUUCUACGUCAUGUUUAGCUCCUGGCCCUUUCAGUUGGGUUUACGUGUUUUUCCUUCCCUCCGAGGUAUGUAUUUGCCUUUUAUCUACACUUUAGUUGUCGUUUUCUUUGUUUUUCGGAUCUUUCAAUUUUCCUAUCGCUCGAGUCGUCGAGAGACCAGACUUGGCCUCCUCCGACUCCCCGGGCUGUCACGGAUCGCGGAGAACGUCUCCAGCGUUUCCCCAGACUACCGGCGGCCAUCCUGGAUCCCACGCACUUGCACGGGAUCCAGGCGGCUGUUUGUAGAUUCAUAACCUUCUCUAGCUAUUGCAAUUUCUCGGCCUGUGCCCAUUAUUAGACCCUUGGACACGGCUCUAGGCUGGAGUGUUACUCCGACUAUUAGCAGGAUUAUUGAUCCCCAGUUUGAGUACACCUCUCAGGUGUCUGAGACAGAGAGUGAUUUCAGGGUCACAGGGGAAUCCCUCUCAGGACCUCAUCCCAACUCGACUGGUUUUAGACGACAAUCUCUCCACUUACAAUCAGUCUGAGACUGAUAGGGACUCUGGUUUGCAUGGUAAGAGAGUGCGGCCCUUUCUUUACCUCAGCCUGAAGCGAGACUAUUUACAAGACUAGAGGGGAUCGCUUCUGAUAUACAGAACCUGUGACAAAAAUUCCAUUAGAGGGCGCAACCCUCCCCUAACCUCGGCCUGAGGAUGAUAGAGAUGCAUAUUACAGGUUUGAAGUGGGUCCCGCUCUCAUAUUCGAAGGCAGACACUGACAAAGACCCUGAGUUUAUUAUUAGAGAGUGCGAUCCUCUCACUAUGGCAGGGAUACAGUGUACAUUAUAUGAGAGUGCGGCUCUCUCAUACCAGGGCCGGACUGGGGAUACAAAGCAGCCCUGGGAAAAAAUCUAUGCCAGCCCCAUAAGUCAUUGUGCUAUGUAGGGUGUUAUAUAUUAAAGGACCACUAUAGUGCCCUGAGGGUGCCCCCACCCUCAGGGUCCCCCUCCCGUCCGGCUCUGGAAGGGGGAAAGGGGUAAAAAAUUACCUUUUUCCAGCGCUGGGCGGGGAGCUCUCCUCCUCCGAUCCUCCUUCUCUCCUCCCCGUCGGCUGAAUGCGCACGCGCGGCAAGAGCUGCGCGCGCAUUCAGCCGGUCACAUAGGAAAGCAGUAUAAAUGCUUUCCUAUGGACGCUGGCAUGCUCUCACUGUAGCGCCUCUAGUGGCUGUCAAUGAGACAGCCACUAGAGGAAAUAGGGGAAGGCUUAACCCAUUCAUAAACAUAGCACUCUGAAACUGCUAUGUUUAUGAAAAAAUGGGUUAACCCUAACUGGACCAGGCACCCAGACCACUUCAUUAAGCUGAAGUGGUCUGGGUGCCUAAAGUGGUCCUUUAAUGUGUGUGUGUGUGUGUGUGUGUAUAUAUAUAUAUAUAUAUAUAUAUAUAUAUAUAUAUAUAUAUAUAUAUAUAUAUAUAUAUAUAUAUAUAUAUUAUUAAUACAUUUCUUCUUCUAAUUCAAAAUAUUAGUCCUUUCAGGGUAAUUAAAUUAUACAGUAAAGCAUACUCACACACAGACACAGACAAUCUUACUGAUGCACACAAAUAGGCUCAUUGACAGACAAUCUCAAUGACACACACAGACAAGGUUACUGGCAGACACACCAAUUUAGUACAGACAAACUCUGAUACACACACAAGCUUACUACAGACAAGCUCACUGUCACACACACACGCUCACUACAGACAAGCUCACUGACACACACACUCACUACAGACAAGCUCACUGACACAUAUGGUCACUACAGACAAGCUCACUGACACACACGCUCACUACAGACAAGCUCACUGACACACACGCUCACUACAGACAAGCCCACGAUCACACCCAUGCUCCUUACAGACAAGAGCUCACUAACACACACACAUAUGAUCCCUACAGACAAGCUCACUGACACACACACACACACAGAGGCUCCCUCACUAGCAGGUGCGCACACACACACAGAGGCAGACAGUCACUGACACCGAGGCAAACAUCCACACAUACAGACAGGCAGACAGCCACACACACAGGCAGACCGUUACACACACACACAUUCACACACACACACACACACACACAGUCACACACAGACAGUAACAUACACAGGCAGACAGACACACACACAGACAGUCACACACACACAGGCAGUCAUACACAAAGGCAGUCACACGCACACACAGACAGUCACAGACAGUCACACACAAACACACACUAACAGUCACACACACAGUCACACACUCACAGUCACACACACACACACACACACAGACAGUCACAGUCACACCCACAGUCACAGUCACACACACAGUCACACACAAACAGACAGUCACACACACACACAGUCACACAGACAGUCACACACUCACAGACAGUCACACACUCACACAGACACACUGACCUCCUUCUUACCUCCUGCUUGGAGCUCCUGGAGGCUGUUUGUUGGGGAAGCAGGGACUCCUUCCUGCUUCCCAUGCUGCAAUUAGCCGGCCCCGCCGCACAGUAAGCUCCGCCUCCGCCGCACGCUAAGCCCCGCCCCCGCCGCACAGUAAGCCUCCGCCCCCGCCGCAAAUAUUUUUUUUUUUUUAAAUGAUCCCGGGCGGCCGUGUGUGAGCCGGCCGCCUGGCUCCCCCUUGCUCCCAUGGGGCUAUGGCCGCACAGCUCACACACGGCCGCCGGGAUCACAGGAGCUGUCAGACCGGCCCCAGGUGCCGCGGCCCACCGGGAAAUUUCCCGGUAUCCCGGUGGGCCAGUCCGGCCCUGUCUCAUACACUCAACCCGCUACUGAGCUCCCCUGAUGUACACGGGCCAAGUUAACUACUUAUACUGUUUCCUCAGUUUACCGCUGGCAAGACCGUUUCUUAUAGUGCUGGAUUCUGCUCCUCCUCCUUGAGAGUGAACACAUUAACACUUAACACUACCCAGCAGGGUAAUUUAGCCUACUGUCGACCCUUAUUCACCCUAUCACCCUACGGACGCAUGCCAGUACGGGACCCCGUUGUCUUCGUAGAGGGCCGUGCCGCCUAUAGUUAACUCGUUUUGGAGGCCUGUGCUACAUGACGGGGUUUACCGCUGAUACUACAGCUCUUGCUAUACCUACUAUGACUAUUUCAUCAAAAUGACGAGGUAUUGCUGCUUAAUAGUGACCGGCUAAGAGGAGAGAACCCCUGCAUUAAAUCUAACGACUGGGCUACUAUUUUGUUACAGAGGUGCUGCCUAUCGGGCAGCGUAGUUCAUAUGUAACCUAGCUUUCACUGUUACAUCCCCUAUGAUUGGUCUGCUGGACUCAGGCCACUAUACCACUUAUCGGGAUAGACUCACUGUGGUAUUACUGGGGUAGAUUCCCCACCUCAUUUACACGUCCCCCUGAUGCCUUAUUGAACAGGGUAGUGGCUGUUUGGAACUGGUGGUCUCACUACAGCUCCCAGGAACUGCACAUCUUCUGGAUACCCUAUGCCUCCGUGUUGCAUUUACUCCUGGAGGUCGUAUGCUUGAUGGGUGAGCCCCAGCUAUUACGGGGUGUAGGUUUUUGGUUUGACCGGCGUUGUGCCGAACGAACAAGCACACACUGGUUAGGUUUUCAUGCUCCAUUUUGGACGCACGGACCAGACCGUUUUCCCCUAUCAAGGGUAGCAAGUGAUUGAGGCCCUCAUAGUGCAGACAUGCACUGCCCUUACUCGGACAACGGGAAUGGGGAAGUCCCACAACCUGGUCUGCAGAUACAGCAUACGCAUUAGUCAAAAGAUCGGAGUCCUGACCGAUUUGGGCUCACUAACUGUUGGCGGUCCUGGGAUAGGUGGCAGGACCGCCCCUACUCCUCUGAGAACGUGUCUGGAGACCACGAUUUGGAUAUAAAGGACGAGUUCCCUCACGGGUGCUGUCCCGAGUUUUUGAUUUUCUCUCAUCCGUCUACUGAGGUACAGUCAAGGAGGACUAUUUGGAUUUGAUGGGGGAACUCUUGUUUGGUGUCGAAUCCUACACAGACGUCACCAAGUUGGGACGCAACCUCCCACUGGAGCACGGCUCAGGGCCUGUGUCGGUUUUGAAUCGGACUACCCAAGGUUCUCCACCUGGACAGUCCCUGCUUCGGACGGUCGAAGCUAUACCCCCUUUUUUUCGAUAUAUCUAUUCUCUGGAGUCAGCUGUCCUUAGCGAAGGGGCUUUACGUUUCAUCUACAUGUUAGAGAACGCUAGGAGAUCACAGGUCUCUAGACAACGAUGGGGGGUAUUCCUUCAUAGGAAGUCUUAGACUUCUGACCUCGAAUCCAAAUACCUGGGUCCCUUGGCCUAAGACCUAUUCUUGGAGAUAACAUUCCCCUGGCAGUCAGGAAUAUGGGGCCUAAAUGCCUCACUCUAUUGUACCAUAUCUUGGGUGUGAUGUGCAUACCAUAAGUCCCGCCACGGAAAUUGGGCAGGGCUGGACUGGAGCGGGAUCGUACAAGCGGUUAUUUGGAUUACCACACUCUCUCCCUAAUCAGUCGACAGUGUCACGGACGGAAAUCUUGACCCAGAUCCACUCACCAAGACCGAUUCGGUUUUUCUCCAGCCAACCUACCCUUCAAACCACUUUCGGCUCCUUUGCGGUCCACCACGCGGCUGCAGCAUGUGACGAUUCUUCUCCAUUUAUGCAGGUCCCAAUUACCCCUUGAAUUCUUACACUUUUCACUCCUUGGCGAUGAAACAUUUGGACAAAAAUAUCAACUUCUAGUUACGUUCCCCUCAUUUUAGUUUUUAGGAUUCACAAUCUCCCAGAGUAGUCGACCACCGUUUCGCUACACAAAUUCAGUUUUGGAACCCUGAUUGGACACCCCUUGGGAGUACUUAACGUACCACAGUCGCAGGUUCUGCAGUCCGUGGGAAUACAGAAAACACUUAGUAUACGACUAGUUUUGCCAGCAUAGUGGAUUCAUUCUCGGAUGAGACCACUCACCUGGUAGGUCACCUGGUAGGUCAUCGGUUCUCUUACGGAGCUGGUGGUGCAUUACUUGAGGUUGGAGGUUUUCCUGCAAGGCCAAAUCACCUGGUGACCCUGGCACAUGCGGAGGAGCCAGCUUCCACAUCAGGGGUCGUGACAUGGUGGCUUUUUUUCUCGUGGUUCCAAGUCUGCAAAUGAUCUUCGGAAAUUGCAUUUGCAGGAAUAUGGUUAAUAGAUCGACUUUGCAGGUCAUGGAUUGUCUUCCGGGAAGCGGGUCUCAUCCCCACGUACGGUCUAUCGGCGGAUUGAGUGUUUUCAGAAAUAAGUGGGACAGCGUCAGCUGACCUCUUCAUCGACCCAUCCGCUGUCACUUCUCGCAAUUGGAAGACCCUUUUGGGUUUUGCUCUGGUUUUUCUCCCGGAACAGGUACCAGCGAAACAAACAUAGUUGGAUUUGUGGACUGAGCGUUAACAAAUAUGAAGCCUCCUGUCAUGUUAUAAAAUUGUAGAUUAUGCUAGUUUUAGUGUACCUAUAAUCUUAAUUUUAUUAAUGACAGGAGGUGAAUAUUUCUCUCCCGUUCUUAGCCCGCCCUUGUUUAACUUUAAUAGUUUGGGUUCAUCAGGUAGGUAUGCAACUCUGCUUGUUGUCUCUGCUACCUCUCACUUAUUCUUAUGUCCGUUUUUCCUAAGUAAGGGUUGGGAUCUAUGCAGGUUAUGGUUUUUCUGGUUAUCUCACUGGGUGCCUACAUGUUUUGUUCUGCAUACAUUUCAUUGGCUAACCAACCUGUUCGAUUCUGUUUUCUCUCGUUGCAGCUUACAGUCCAUCAACGCUAUGUGGUUUGAGAGUUCUUCUCGGAUGGUGGUCGUUUUUAUAUUCGUCAUAUCUAGGACUUCAUUUUUCCUCCAUUAUAUUUUCUGCCUUUUGUUCUGUUUUUGUCGCAGCUUGAAAGAGGAAAUGAUGGAUAGGGAGGGGAGUUUUAUAGUACCUUACUUUUUUCUGAUUGGUUGUUUUCUCUUGCUGCUGUGGAGUUCUAGUAAAGAGAGACUUAAAGGACCACUAUAGGCACCCAGACCACUUCAGCUUAAUCAAGUGGUCUGGGUGCCAGGUCCUUCUAGGGUUAACUCUUUUUUUCUAUAAACAUAGCAGUUUCAGAGAAACUGCUAUGUUUAUGUUAGGGUUAAUCCAGCCUCUAGUGGCUGUCUCUUGACAGCCGCUAGAGGGCUUCCACGUUUCUCACUGUGAAAAUCACAAUGAGAAGACGCCAGCGUCCAUAGGAAAGCAUUGAGAAUGCUUUUCUAUGGAACGGCUGAAUGCGCGCGCAGCUCCUGCCGCGCAUGUGCAUUCAGCCGAAGAGGAGGAGAAGAGGGAGGAGAGGAGGAGGAGAGCUCCAUGCCUUGUGCUGGAAGAAGAGGUAAGUUUAACCCCUUCCUCUCCAUCCAGCCCGGCGGAAGGGGGACCCUGAGGGUGGGGGCACCCUCAGGGCACUAUAGUGCCAGGAAAACGAGUAUGUUUUCCUGGCACUAUAGUGGUCCUUUAAGCAAAUAUUCGCCUCCUGUCAAUAAUAAAAUUAAGAUUAUAGGUACACUAAAGCUAGCAUAAUCUACAAUUUACUCACAUUUAAUAGACAUUUCCUUUCUGGAUAAAUGUCUAGUAAUGUAAAAUAUAAGCUGUUGAUAAUAAAACAAGGAUUUCAUAUGGUAGCACACAGGCUGCACAGAAAGGCAGUAGUUAACUUUGUAUAAAAAUUGUAUCUAUCAUGCUGUCCUGUUUGUGUUUCUCCUUUGUUACUUAUACAUUAUACUUAUGGUUCAAAUAAGUAGCCAGGUAUAGCUAGCCAGGAGGUUUGCAUUUCUCACAAAUGUUGAUCCUGGAGUUACUUAAGUUUAUAGACUCAAGCAAGUUCUCAAACAAGGAUUAAUACAUGCAAACAAAAUAGACUGUAUUAUUUAAUGGGUACUUAAAAUUACAUACCUCAAGUAAACAAUCACUAACAUGCAGUACUAUUUAAAGUGACACCGUCACAACAGAUAUAGGUCUAACCAUCUGACUUGACUCAUGUUAUACAAUUAAGUGUUUCUGCCUUAAAUAUUAUUAAUUUAUUUCCUAUACCCCUGUCUCCUGCUGAGAGCAUCAAUCAUGUGUUCAGUGGGUGUUACACUUGUUGUAAUACACACCACUCCUGUAUAUCCCUGUUUGUGAAGCACAUACUUGCUUCCCAUGUGUGGUUAACAGUCCUUAACACAGUCCUUGGCUUUGGGUAAAUAAAACAUAUAUGUUCUUUGUCUCCAUGCUCCAAUUGCCUGUCCAAAGCUGCAGCAAAUUAUCAUUCUAGCUUUUUCUCUCCUCUCUCCGGGUUGCUCUCACAAAGAGCCUGCCCCUUCCCCUUGGAGAGACACCCAGAGGAGUGUUUCCCCUUAUAAUAGGCAUGUAGGGUCACCAGUGUAUAGGGGAGCAUGGUCGGUGCCAAUUGGUACUAGCAUUCUACAAGAAAUGUAGUACUAUCCUCAUUGAGUUAUUAAGGAGUAUAUUACUGAAUUGUGCCUUAUGACGCCAGAAUACUAAAACAGACCCUUUAUUUGCAAUGUACACACACACACAUAAUAAAUGUUAUAAUAUUUAAGCUUAUGUUUCUUUACUCAGACACUUUGUUCACUCUACACCAAGAAGAGGCUCCCUUGUGAGCUCUAGUCUAAUAUCUGUCAGUGAGAUUGAAGAGCAUGUUCAUGAAGGUGAUGAAGCUGUAAAAGAAAAUUUUAUGUCAAGUGCCGAAGAGAGCAUUCAGGUAA